rnacentral:rRNA from 1 species
AUGCCAAUGGCACUGCCCGGUAGCUAAAAGCGGAAGAGAUAAGUGCUGAAAGCAUCUAAGCACGAAACUUGCCCCGAGAUGAGUUCUCCCUGAGACUUAGAGUCUCCUGAAGGAACGUUGAAGACGACGACGUUGAUAGGCCGGGUGUGUAAGCGCAGCGAUGCGUUGAGCUAACCGGUACUAAUGAACCGUGAGGCUUAACCUUACAACGCCGAAGCUGUU